rnacentral:lncRNA from 1 species
GCGGGGCUUCGCGAGGCGCCCCGCCCCUCCCUCCCCGAACCGGAAGUGUCUCUUGGUCUUUCCAGCUGGUUGUCAUUUCACUCGGCUCGGUCCUGAGGAGGAGUCGGCGGCGGCUGCGGGGAGACCGGGCACCGGGAGGCGGUGGCGGUGGAGACAUCAGAGGAGGAGGAGGAGGAAGACGAGAAACCGAAGAGGAAGGAGAAGGCCGCGGCGAAGACGGCACUGACUACGGGGCCAGGAGAGACGGCGGCUGCGGCGGCCCAGGAACCGUGAGGAGAAAAACUAAUCGAACUGAGAAACCGAACAAACCGCCCCCGGGUCUCAUGAGGGAAAAAAACCCCCGGAGCCGCAGAGAGGGGACGAGGCAGAAACCGCAGCAGCAGCGGCAGGACCUCCCUUCCAGACCGCCCCAGUUCCCCCCGCACGCCCCGGCCGGCGGCUGCUGAGGCCCCCCCGUCUCGUUUCGCCCCCCUCCCCUCCACAGUGAAUCGCUUUAAUCCUUUCUUAAUCUCGGUCCCCCCUAGAGAGAAACGGGUGUUUUCAGCCCAUUUCAUGGGGGAGAGGCGGUGGGGGGGGAGACCAGAAGCAGGAAAAACAGGAGCAGCAACAGCAAGAACUGCACCAGGAGCAGGAAGAGCGGCGGCAGCAAACCAGCCCCAGGAGCGAGAACUGCCCCAGGAGCCGCAGAAAGGGCAGAAGCGGCCCCGGGGGCCGCAGACACCUUCCUGCAGCCCUCCCGUUCCUCUUCAAUGCUGAUUUCCUCGACUGAAAUUCUGCUUCCCGGAACCAGGAAUUCACCCCGUUUCUUUCUUUCUCUCCACGUAACAUAAUAUCUUUAUACAUAAAUAUAUAAUAUAUAAUGUUCUUAAAUUAUUCCUGAUUUAAAAAAAAUUUUUUGAGCUGCCAAGAAAAGACGUCUUCUCCCCUAAUCCUUAAAAGAUUUCAUAUGUGGGUGAGUCAAAACUGCUGAGGAAGAACAUAUGAUUGUUAAAUUAUAGAUAUAUUUUUUACUCUGCGCAAUGCUUAUUCUUCUACAUCCAUAAAUGCUUCAGAAGCUCUGUUUUUGUCAUUCAUGUGCAUUUUCCUUUGGAAAAAGAAACCACCUAUUUUACUAACCAAAGACUUGAUUUUUUUCCCCUUCCUACCCUCUCCCCUAGAAAUAAACACAAUUUGACUCAUGUCCA